UACGGGGGGGGCAAGCGUUGUUCGGAAUUACUGGGCGUAAAGGGCUCGUAGGUGGCCAACUAAGUCAGACGUGAAAUCCCUCGGCUUAACCGGGGAACUGCGUCUGAUACUGGAUGGCUUGAGUUUGGGAGAGGGACGCGGAAUUCCAGGUGUAGCGGUGAAAUGUGUAGAUAUCUGGAGGAACACCGGUGGCGAAGGCGGCGUCCUGGACCAACACUGACACUGAGGAGCGAAAGCCAGGGGAGCAAACGGG
rnacentral:rRNA from 1 species